AUAGUUCCCCGCUAGAGGCACUAAUACAGCAGCUGAGCCUAGACUCUCCCGGAGCCCGAUGGUUGCUUAGCUACAGCUCUGGGAAGGAGGGGGAGGUGCUAACUGACGGCCGACGCUCUGGCAGCCGCCUUGGAACUCUGUGGUGGCAUUCGCGUCUGCGAGCUCCGGAGUGACUUUCCCUUCCUGUGAAGGCAAUCCGGCCCUUUCCGGUGGAGGACCCUUCCCCCUGGGUUGAUCUUGAGGAACUUAAGAGACGGUGUUUUGACUCGACUCCUUUCCCCUUUUUCCUCCCGGUACCAAAGCGGUUUUGUUUGCUGUUUAUACUCUACCCCGUGGAAAGGCGGCUAGCUGGCUAAAGGGUUUUAUGCCUGGGGGAGGAUGAGUCGCUAUUUGGUCGUGACUUGUUUCUGUUUAAAAUUAUUAUUAUUUACCAAAUGAAAAUGUUGUACUUACCAGUCCAAAGUGCGGGGCUUAUAUUGUUAGAAGACCACUUAAAAUGCUCCUGGAUUCUGACAAAUAUUGCAUGAGAAAUUUGCAAUCAGCCGUGAAGCAUGUUUCCCCUUCUGAAAGUUUAACACGUGCCGUAUCUACGGCUGGGAUCUAACACAUCCCAUUCCUACAGGGUAAUUUCCUAUUGUGUUUUCAAAUACUACUAAAGUACUUUAACCAAGAGUUUUCAAUAAUCUUUAUGUAUUAUUGCCUAUCUCUAUGCAAGGUAUCAAUAGUUUUCUACAGGUUCGGGACUACACUGUUUAAUAUAUAACCCCAACCCUUGGUACCGCACUGACCUUCAGUAUUUGGUUGCUGAAAUCUUCAAUGAUGAAAGGGGUUGGUAUGAUAAUUGACACAGAUUAGUAAACCGGGUCCUUUUCUUCCCUACUUUCCCGUAACAUCCUGUCCCCACCCCACUCCCUCACCUAAACCUGAUGAGACCAGAAAUGCAUUUUAAGUUGCAUGUAUUAUUUACAUUGAAAUAUUACAAUUUGAAGGUUCAUCUAAAUUUAAGGCUAUAUUCUUGGGAAUUGGGUUUCCUCACUCAGCUCUGCCACUGACCACAGUGGGCCUUGAAUUUCUAAGUUGACAUAAACUUAGCCUAGGUUGAUUAGCUCUCACUUGUAAUUUUUUUUUUUCCUCAGAAAGCAAUAACCACAGGAGGUAAUUGUGAAGUGAUAGGCUUAUCUUUGGUUGUUAUUGCCAUGGAACUUGACAAAACAAAUAUGAAUAAUUGAUACAACAAAAUGAUAUAAAAAGAUACAUGAGACCUAGACAACUCAUUGCAAGUAGUUUAGCAAAAUACCAGACUGAAUAAUUUUAUAGUUGAAGUAUAAUGUACAGGUUGAGUAUUCUUUAUCCAAAGUGCUUGGGACCAGAAAUGUUUUGGAUUUUGGACUUUUUCAGAUUUUGGAAUAUUUGCAUAUACAUAAUGAGAUAUUUCAGCUAUAGGACCCAAGUCUAAAUUUGAAUUUCAUUUGUUCCAUUUAUACCUUAUACACAUAGACUGAAGAUAAUUUUAUAUAAUAUUUUCAAUAACUUUGUGCACGAAACAAAGUCUUGACUGCCUUUUGACUGUGAUCCUCCACUUGAGGUCAGAUGUGGAAUUUUCCAUUUGUGGCAUCAUGUUGACACUCAAAAAUUUUGGAUUUUGGAGCAUUUUGAAUUUUGGAUUUUUAGAUUAGGGAUGUUUGACCUGUAUGUAACAGUUAACACUUAACAAGCCAUUAUCAUGUCCUCAGCACUUUUACGUGCUUACCUCAUUUAAUCUUUACAAUGACCCUAGGAGAUAGGUUCAAUUGUUAUUCUCAUUUUACAAAUGAUAAAAAUGACUAUGAAUUUGGUCCACUCACAGCCUGUGAACCUCAUUCCUCACCUGUAAAAUGUGAAUAAUAAAUAGUAUUUGCCAUGUCUACUUCAAGGAAUUGUUAUAAAAUUCGUGUGAAAAUGUAUUUGUGUACUCUUUCAAAAUUUAUGUGGCAGUUAUUCCAUGAUCACCUCUGUAUCAGUCAGUUCAAUUAUUAAUGAUAACAGGAAAUUGGAAUAAUGAGGGCUUAGCUAGCAAGAAGUAAAGAGAACUCUAAAUACUACAGAUGUAGCAGGUAUAUAAUAGUAGAUAUGAUAGCCACUACCCCUGGAACUGAGAUAAAGCAUUCUCUUCCCUUAGCUGAGAUCCAGACCUUCUUAGAGAGAACACAGCCAGUGGAGAGUCACUCUAUGGCAGGAAAUAUUCUGUAUUGCCUUACAGGCAGAACUUGCUGAAACUCCAACCUCUGGAAAUUACUGGAACCCUGCAUUCUAGAACUUGCUGGAAACCCACCCUCUGGAAUUGGCCUGCUAGAGUGCCUGAGAAGGAUGUUCAUAGGGAAAUGUUUCAGCAGAGGAACUCUACUACAAAAACCACAAGAGGGAGGGUGCCAGGGGAAGUGGCCUGGUGCUAUUGAAACUGCAACACAGAAGCCAGCCACUGGAGAGAGCUGCACAAGCUGCAGGAACACCCUACCCAGUAAGCCGGCCAGAAGGAGGGAGCAAAACCUUUUCUCUCUGCAACAUCUUUCCAGUUUCCUCUACUGGAAAAGCUUCAUUGCCAGCUGACAAAAGGAAAAAUACUUAAAUGGAUCAGAUCCAUUUUCACAGAGCAGUCAAUAAUGGUGAAUUUGGAGAUGAUAAGCAACAAAUUGAUGAACUGGCACAACUUCCCUGCUACUUUCUUGAUUGUAAUGCCUAGAUAGGGAAUAGGAAAGUUAUUGAAAUGUAUGUGUUCCCAUGAAAUGUGUUUAUUUGUUGUUCAAGAUCAAUACUAAUAAAUGGGGACUAAUGUUCUGAAGUAUUUUGGAACAAUUAGAAUCACCACUCUUAACCCUGUGGCCAAAGUCUUAAAUGGACAGGGAGGAAAAUGUUUAUAAACUGAAGCAAAAAUUGAUCUACAUAGAAAAUAAAUCUGGAGUAUUUACUUGGUAGGUAUACUAGUUUCCUAGGGCUGCCAUAACAAGUUAUUACAAACUGGGUGGCUUAAAACAACAGAAAUUUGUUCUCUCACAGUUCUAAAGGCCAGAAAUCCAAAAUCAAGGUGUUUGCCAAAGCCAUGCUCUAGGGGAGAAUCCUUUGCUUCUUCCAGCUUCUGGUGGCUCCUGGCAUUACUUGGUUUGUGAGAGCAUAAUUCUAAUGUCCGCUUCUACCUUCAUAUGGCCUUCUUUCAUAUGACAUGUCAAAUCUUCCUCUCCUUUUUCUUAUAAGGACACCAGUCAUUGGAUUUCAGGCUCACCCUUAAGCCGGGAUGAUCUCAUCUCCAGAACCCUAACUUAAUUACAUCCACAAAGACCCUAUUUCUAAGUAAGAUCAUAUUCACGAGUACUGGGGUUAGGACAUGGACAUCUUUUUGGAGGACACAAUUCAAUCCACCAACACAUUUUUAUUUUACUUUGGUCUUUAAAAAGAAUAAGCCGAGUUCAGUGGCUCAUGCAUGUAAUCCCAGCACUUUGGGAGGCCAAGGCGAGCAGAUCACUUGAGGCCAGGAGUUCACGACCAGCCUGGUCAACAUAGCAAAACCCUAUCUCUACUAAAAAUACCAAAAUUAGGGCCGUGCGCGGUGACUCACGCCUAUAAUCCCAGCACUUUGGGAGGCUGAGACGGGCGGAUCACGAGGUCAGGAGACCGAGAACAUCCUGGCUAACACGGUGAAACCCCGUCUCUACUAAAAAUAAAAAAAAAUUAGCCCGGCGUGGUGGCGGGCGCCUGUAGUCCCAGCUACUCAGGAGGCUGAGGCAGGAGAAUGGCAUGAACCCGGGAGGCGGAGCUUGCAGUGAGCCGAGAUCGCGCCACUGCACUCCAGCCUGGGC
rnacentral:lncRNA from 1 species